rnacentral:rRNA from 1 species
CCGUAAUCGGAAUGAGUACACUUUAAAUCCUUUAACAAGGAUCUAUUGGAGGGCAAGUCUGGUGCCAGCAGCCGCGGUAAUUCCAGCUCCAAUAGCGUAUAUUAAAGUUGUUGCGGUUAAAAAGCUCGUAGUUGGUUCUGCGUGCCGCGCUGUCGGUUUGCCGCCUGUCGGUGUAACUGGCAUGUCGCGGUAUGUCCUGUCGGUGGUGAAUGUAAUGGCAACGGUGCCAGGGUAUGCUUUAUCAAAAGUAUACGCGGGUUAACUUGUUGUUCAAUUACAUUUGCCGUUUUUUCCUACUCCGGUGCUCUUAAACGAGUGUCGAGGUAGGCCGACACGUUCACUUUGAACAAAUUAGAGUGCUUAAAGCAGGCUGAAAUAUCUGCCUGAAUAGUGGUGCAUGGAAUGAUAGAAUAGGACCUCGGUUCUAUUUUAUUGGUUUUAGGAAUAUGAGGUAAUGAUCAAUGUGGACUGGCGGGGGCAUUCGUAUUGCGACGUUAGAGGUGAAAUUCUUGGAUCGUCGCAAGACGCACUAGAGCGAAAGCAUUUGCCAAGUAUGUCUUAAUUGAUCAAGAACGAAAGUUAGAGGUUCGAAGGCGAUCAGAUACCGCCCUAGUUCUAACCAUAAACGAUGCCAGCCAGCGAUCCGCCGAUGUUCCUUUAAUGACUCGGCGGGGAGCUUCUACCCGGGAAACCAAAGCUUUUGGGUUCCGGGGGAAGUAUGGUUGCAAAGCUGAAACUUAAAGGAAUUGACGGAAGG